UCUUACGGAUGAGGAAAAAAAAAAGUGGUUUCUUGAGAUGGAAUCUACUCCUGGUGAAAAUGUUGUGAA
rnacentral:pre_miRNA from 1 species